UCAUUAAAGUAUAAAGGAAGAAAGUAGCCUUCAGAAACUAGGCCCAGGCCUUGUAUUUUUUUAAUAAUGCUAAGAUAGCACACAAAGAAGAGUGAUUGCACCAAACUGCAAAGACUGGGUGGACCUCUUUCUUAAUGUGCAAUGUCCUUUGUCUUAAAAUUUGGUGCCAUAUGU
ensembl:snoRNA